rnacentral:miRNA from 12 species
GAGCUCAGAGCAGCUCAGAGCAGGAUCAGAGCUCAGAGCAGCCCCCCAGAGCCCAGAGCAGGCUCAGAGCAGGCACAGAGCCCAGAGCAGG